rnacentral:lncRNA from 1 species
CCCGCAACAUCAAGUUCUGCUAUCUGCUGUAAGUACAUAUGAAGCCAUGUGACAAAGAAACCGGGUCCUCCAUGGUGCACUUGCAGUGCAUUGUGCUGGCCGUCCGUCGUGCUUGUGCCUAUUUGUGCGCACAGUAUAUCUAUGCACAUGUUGCUUUCUGACCGUCCAUUCUACGAUAGAUGAUACUCAUAAUGCGUCGUAAAGGAUCUGCACUCU